rnacentral:rRNA from 1 species
GUCGAGCGAACGGACGAGAAGCUUGCUUCUCUGAUGUUAGCGGCGGACGGGUGAGUAACACGUGGAUAACCUACCUAUAAGACUGGGAUAACUUCGGGAAACCGGAGCUAAUACCGGAUAAUAUUUUGAACCGCAUGGUUCAAAAGUGAGAGACGGUCUUGCUGUCACUUAUAGAUGGAUCCGCGCUGCAUUAGCUAGUUGGUAAGGUAACGGCUUACCAAGGCAACGAUGCAUAGCCGACCUGAGAGGGUGAUCGGCCACACUGGAACUGAGACACGGUCCAGACUCCUACGGGAGGCAGCAGUAGGGAAUCUUCUGCAAUGGGCGAAAGCCUGACGGAGCAACGCCGCGUGAGUGAUGAAGGUCUUCGGAUCGUAAAACUCUGUUAUUAGGGAAGAACAUAUGUGUAAGUAACUGUGCACAUCUUGACGGUACCUAAUCAGAAAGCCACGGCUAACUACGUGCCAGCAGCCGCGGUAAUACGUAGGUGGCAAGCGUUAUCCGGAAUUAUUGGGCGUAAAGCGCGUGUAGGCGGUUUUUUAAGUCUGGUGUGAAAGCCCACGGCUCAACCGUGGAGGGUCAUUGGAAACUGGAAAACUUGAGUGCAGAAGAGGAAAGUGGAAUUCCAUGUGUAGCGGUGAAAUGCGCAGAGAUAUGGAGGAACACCAGUGGCGAAGGCGACUUUCUGGUCUGUAACUGACGCUGAUGUGCGAAAGCGU